GGGGCUGUAGCUCAGUUGGCAGAGCGCUUGCAUGGCAUGCAAGAGGUCACGGGUUCAAAUCCCGUCAGCUCCA
rnacentral:tRNA from 1 species